CAGGAGAUGCAAAGAUAGUAAAACAUACUCCAAACCUGAUAUCCAUAGUGUUAUGAAUUCUGAUUCUCUGUAGGAUUUAAUUCAACCAAAAAGGACUUUUUCACGAGAUUGGUUUGGUUCAGGGGAAAAAAAAAUCUGGAAAUGAGAAGAUAGCUCAAACAUAUCUACUAAAUUAACUGCUGCAACUAAAACCUGGAAAAUUGACCUUUUUUGGAUCACAUACUGCUCUGAAAUUAUGGGACCCUGGUCCACUUCUUAUUCGUGCGCAGCCACUCUCCUAUAUUUCCUGGAAUUUUCUUUGGUGCAAAGGACAAAUAGUCUGGCAUUUCCAGAGACAGACCUCUGCUGGAAGUAUGUGAAUAUAUCCAACCCUGGAAGCAGGCAGGUGUUAACAUCUUCAUUUCAGGCUAGUGGAGCUUGGAAAUGUGUAAACUGACACUCAUCACUGUUUGAGUGCUUAGCCCAAAAGUAAAAAGGUACGUUCUUGAGGGGUUUCCCUGGUGGCGCAGUGGUUGAGAGUCCGCCUGCCAAUGCAGGGGACGCGGGUUCGUGCCCUGGGAUCCCACAUG